rnacentral:rRNA from 1 species
AUGUCUGCAGGACGCUCUCAGCACACGGCUACCUCGAGCAUGCGGCGCCGGCAGGAGGCCGAGCGCGCCGUGGCAGAGGAGCGUGAGCGAGCGGCUGUAGCAGCAGCUGCUGCGGCGGCAAGGGUGUCGAGGCUGGCUGCAGCGGAGCUGGCAGCAGCCAGAGCGGAGGUAGAAGCAGCCAAGGCGGAGGUAGAAGCAGCAGCAGCAGAAGCAGCCCGUGAGGCUACGGCGGAUGCCAAGGCACUCCGCGGCGGCCCCGGCAGCUCCAGCAGCUCCGCGCCUGCGGACGACGGCGCCGACGCAGAUCGCGCCAAAGUGGCGCAGGAGCGGACGGCGCAGUGGGCAGCCGAGCACGCCCGCGCUCCAGGUGGAGGCGCGCACCGCGACGGCGGCUGCAACGACCAGGACCGCGGCCUCCACGAGGUCCGGACUGUGGUCAGGGAUGUUGGUCCCAGUGUUGGGUGGCCUACCCUCACUAAAACCAACUACGUCGAGUGGGCCGGGAUCAUGAAGGUCAGGCUCUAG